GGAAAUGUGAGCGGAGCAUAAAGCCUUAUUGCUCCAUACGGAGGUCCGAUGGUUGUAGCGUGACAAGUUGCUGGCCCGUGUGUAUGAGCUGCGGGAGGAACUUAAAGUGUUUCUGACAAACGAGAGGUCUGAUUACUCAAAUCUGUUUGCAAGUGAUGAGUGGUGUGCAAAGCUGGCAUACCUGGCAGAUAUAUUUCAUCAUCUGAAUGAACCAAACACACGGAUGCAAGGCCGAAAUGAGAACCUGCUUACAAGCAUGGAUAAAAUAAAUGGAUUCCAUUUAAAGGUGCACCUCUGGCAACAACAUGUGCAAAGUGCCAACCUUGAGAUGUUCCCACUCACAGAGGAACGGCAAGAUCACCCUGCUGCACUGUGCGAGGUAAUAGGUAAACAUCUGAAAACUCUUGAGGAGAAGUUGUCAUUUUAUUUCUCUUCAGCCUCCAUUGAAUGCCUUGCCUGCUGUUGGAAAGGACAUAACUUUACAGGAGCAGGAGGAACUAACUGAACUGAAACAAGAUCGUGGUUUAAAGCUAAGAUUUGCUGAACUUCCUUUGGACAGUUUUUGGUUGACUGCUACCAAGGAAUUCCCCAUUGCGGCCAACAAAGUUUUGACAUUGCUCCCAUUUUCCACAACAUAUGUGUGUGAGCUGAGCUUUUCAAGCCUAUCUGCUAUAAAAACUAAAAACAGAGAGAGACUGAAAGCUGUUGAAGAGCUUCGUGUAUGCCUUUCUUCAAUUCCUGCCAGGAUAUCGGCUUUGUGUUCAUCUAAACAUGCCCAGGUUUCACACUGAGUAAAACUAUAUUGCAAUUACAUAUACUGUAUUAGGCUACAGAGUGUCAUUCUGUAACAUUUUUGGUCGGUGGUGUGCCACAAGAUUUUUCCAAUGUAAAAAAUGUGCCAUGGCUCAAAAAAGAUUGAAAAACACUGCGUUACACUACACAAUUUAAGAAGCUACACUUACUUCUGCUUCCAUUGUAACACUUUUCAGUUUUGGAGCAACAACAACAGCAACAACAGCAACAACAAUAACAACAAAAAAGUGUUGGAACAAAAUAAAUCUUAUUUUCCAUUCCAGGUUGCAGGUAUUCGCGGGUGCAAUGCAACACCGUUCCACACACAAAUAACUCUUUUGAAUGGUUAAAUUACUAAAAUCAGAAAGCGCCACCAGCAUAUCUGACAAAGAUGACUCAUGAACCGAUUCUUUAAUCACUAGCUGAAAACGACGUAUUGAAUUUACACAAACGUCAAAUAACAAAUACAAAAUUCUACUUUCUCAUGAAUAUGGUAUAGUGCAUUGCUUAAUCAGCAGUUUUUCUUAGAAAGACAAGAUAUUUAAAUCGAAUGAAUUUAAUGAAACCACACAUCAAGCUGUCUUUUCUAACAGAACAUUAAAUUUAGCAUUAGCUCCCAGUUUCAGAAAGUUCUAGCCAGACAUUCAGGGGGAAAGAAUCAGAACAAAAUGUAAAAUAAAAAAAGUAGUGAAAGAUGAAAGUGAAGGAAUAAACGGGGGGUUUGUGUCUUAAAAGUUGUGUCUUAAAAGUUGAGUAAUUAAAAACUAAAAAAAAAGCUGUGAGAUUCAGCGUUUGUCACAACGAUGCCAAACGCUCUCCCGACUAUUUCUUUGGGAUUGUUCCCAAACUGAGAAAUCAAGGUUCUUCAGUCAUGCUUCCCCCACAAUCAAACUUUGGAGUUGACUCCAUAUUCACAACAACUAUAGAGUCGACUCCAAAGCUUGAUUCCUUUGAAUCGACUCUAUUCCCAUUACCUGGUAUCUACGAAUUGACACCAGGUAUUAGGAAUCGCCCUGUUAAUCAUGAUAAUGAUCCUAUGUACUUAAUACUGUGGGUUGUUCCCCUAACCUUUAAUUCGAGAUUUUUGCUGAAUCGAUUCUUGGAACAGACUCACUCAGUGUUGCAAUCGAUUUCAGAAUAUUAGCAAGGGUUUGAAUCGUUAUCAUUUCCCCUGCUUCCAUUUGUAGGAAGCUGCCUUAAUCACGAUGAACCCAGGCUACGCAGGCAGGACCGAGCUCCAGGACAACCUGGAGGCCGCUUCAGAUCCGUCUCCAUGAUUGUUCCCGACCACGCCGUCAUAGCAGAGGUGGACUUGUGAGCUGAGGGCUUCAAGUCCAGUGAGACUCUGGCGAAGAAGAUGAUUCAGCUGUAUAAGCUGUGCAGCAAGCAGCUUUCCCGGCAGGACCACUACGACUUCAGCAUGAGAGCCAUCACCUCUGUUAUCGUCAUGGCCGGGUCUCUGAUGCGAGAGAACCCACACCUGAGUGAGAACGUGGUGUUGAUUAGAGCGCUACGAUACUCCAACCUGCCCAAGUUACUCAAGGAUGAUGCAGAACUUAAAAUAAAAUAAAUUGAUAAAUAGUAAAGAACGCCAAAGCUUACAUAUGGAGUAUCAAAGGUCAUUAUCACAGGAUCACUGGAAUCAGGCACUAGGAGGAAAUUCCAGGACAAAUUAGGAAAUACAAUUAACUGACAUUUGCAAAUUCUUUGCACCUAAAAAGCUGUAAUUAUACAGGGGGAGGGGAGUAAUCAAUAGGAAGAAGGAUCUGAGAGGGAACAUGGACAAAAUUUAUGGAACUUUUUCCUGGUUCGGCCCUAAAUUUGGGCCAGAUUAAAUUUCAUCUGUACAAGUUGGACAAUAGGGAUGGGGAACAUAGAUCCAGUACCCUUAAAUCCAAUUAGAACUUCUAUUCCAACCAUUAAAACCAUUUUUUAUCUUGAAAUCUAGGGGCUUACCCAAACAAUAAACUCUAAUCACCUAAUUUUUAACCAAUAAAAACUCCUUUUUCCAAUAUUGAAACUUAGGGGCCAACCCUAACCCUGAACUUAACCAUCAGAAACAAAUAUGUUCUCUAAACUGAUCCUCCAACCCCCAAUAGUUAACCUCACCUAAAACGUCUUACAUUUAGACAGAUUUUCUUUUAAAGUCUUUAAUUUAUUUAUUCAUUUUCAUAUGGUUCAUUUACAUGUGAUUCAUUUACGUUGAUUCAUUUACAUGUGAUUCAUUUUCAUGAGAUUCAUGAAAAUUCAUUUUUUUUUUAAAGUGGCAGAAUUCGUUUUUAACACAAUAUGUAGAUUAAAAAAAUUAUAUAAUUUAUUUUCCAUUUUUUUUAUACAACUGAUAUUUUCUCAUAGAAUGUUAAAUACAUAUAGAGGAAUAUAUGCAGAAUGAAGGACAAGGUUUUGUGCCUGUGCCACCUCCCACACCAAUGAGUGUUGGGUUGAGUCAUCCCCUAACCUAACCCUGCCUGAGCCUUUUUAUUAAAGGUAUUUAAUUUAGUUUGAUGUGGUUUAGUUUGUUAGAAUGUGAAUUUAUCCGUUAUAUGUAGGCUAGCUAACUGCGUAGUUAACUAACGUUAGUCAGCUGACAAGAAAAAUAUCAGACUUUUUCCUCAUUCCCUGCCUGUCCAAACCCUGCCUCCUCUACAUCAGAUACCGACGAUGUUGAGACCAACUCGACCAGUGAAAGUUCCCAAGUGACAUUUGAGUCAUCCCAGCCCGUUUCAAUCGGUGUGCAAUCUUUUAUAGAUGAUGACAGCCAAGCGCAGCGAGUUGAGUCUUCUCCCGUCCCUGCGGCUCUCAUCCCGACAAGACAGUUUAAAUCAGCUUGGCUACAAGAGUUCGCCUGGUUACGUUAUGACAAAGGGAAAAUGUACUGCACAUUUUGCGCUAAAGCAGGACAAGAUAUUGCUGGUAAAACAGAGUUCAUUACCAGUUCGAGUCAUUUUAAAAAAGAAACCGUAAAGAAGCAUGGAGACAGUACAAAACAUGAGACCGCCAGGGAUUGUGUCAUUGCUAGCUCUGCCCCUCGUGCCACCCCAAUCGUGAAAGCAGUGCAACGUGCUAGUGAUAAAGUCACUGAAAAAGAGAUGAGGUAAUUGAAAAUAAAAUUCAAUGCAGCCUACAUGACUCUGAGCCUGAAUAAGCAGGAAAUGAAUAAAAAAGUGAAAAAAAGAAACAAAUGACUGCACAUUUAAGUAUUUACGGUAAUAUGAUUCAAGAUGGGGGCAUCACUGCCACUGUUGGGCCCUUGAGCAAGGCCCUUAACCCUCUCUACUCCAGGGGCGCUGUAUCAUGGCUGACCCUGUGCUCUGACCCCAACUUCCUAACAACCUGGGAUAUGCAAAGAAAAGAAUUUCACUGUGUUGUAAUGCAUAUGUGAUCAAUAAAGACUCAUUAUUAUUA